UACGUAGGGGGGCAAGCGUUGUCCGGAAUCAUUGGGCGUAAAGCGCGUGUAGGCGGCCAGGUAAGUCCGUUCUGAAAGCCCGGGGCUCAACCCCGGGAGGCGGAUGGAUACUGCUUGGCUCGAGUCCGGAAGAGGCGAGUGGAAUUCCUGGUGUAGCGGUGGAAUGCGCAGAUAUCAGGAGGAACACCAAUAGCGAAGGCAGCUCGCUGGGACGGUAUUGACGCUGAGACGCGAAAGCGUGGGGAGCAAACAGG
rnacentral:rRNA from 1 species